GAUGAACGCUAGCUACAGGCUUAACACAUGCAAGUCGAGGGGCAGCAUGAACUUAGCUUGCUAAGUUUGAUGGCGACCGGCGCACGGGUGAGUAACACGUAUCCAACCUGCCGAUGACUCGGGGAUAGCCUUUCGAAAGAAAGAUUAAUACCCGAUGGCAUAGUUCUUCCGCAUGGUAGAACUAUUAAAGAAUUUCGGUCAUCGAUGGGGAUGCGUUCCAUUAGGUUGUUGGCGGGGUAACGGCCCACCAAGCCUUCGAUGGAUAGGGGUUCUGAGAGGAAGGUCCCCCACAGUGGAACUGAGACACGGUGCAAACGCCUACGGGAGGCAGCAGUGAGGAAUAUUGGUCAAGGGACGAGAGUCUGAACCAGCCAAGUAGCGUGAAGGAUGACUGCCCUAUGGGGUGUAAACUUCGUUUAUACGGGAAUAAAGUGAGGCACGUGUGCCUUUUUGUAUGUACCGUAUGAAUAAGGAUCGGCUAACUCCGU
rnacentral:rRNA from 1 species